AGGGUUUGAUCAUGGCUCAGGAAGAACGCUAGCGGCAGGCCUUAUACAUGCAAGUCGAGGGGCAGCAUUUACUUCGGUAAAUGGCGACCGGCGCACGGGUGAGUAACGCGUAUGCAACCUACCUUUAACUGGGGCAUAGCUCGAGGAAACUCGAAUUAAUUCCCCAUAGUACAAUACAAUAUCGCAUGAUAUAAUUGUUAAAGAUUUAUCGGUUAAUGAUGGGCAUGCGUCUGAUUAGCUUGUUGGUAAGGUAACGGCUUACCAAGGCAACGAUCAGUAGGGGGUCUGAGAGGAUGAUCCCCCACACUGGUACUGAGACACGGACCAGACGUCUACGGACGGCAGCAGUAAGGAAUAUUGGGCAAUGGGCGCAAGCCUGACCCAGCCAUGCCGCGUGCAGGAUGACGACCCUAUGGGUUGUAAACUGCUUUUAUAUAGGAAGAAAAUACUCUUGCGAGAGGAUCUGACGGUACUAUAUGAAUAAGGACCGGCUAACUCCGUGCCAGCAGCCGCGGUAAUACGGAGGGUUCAAGCGUUUUCCGGAUUUAUUGGGUUUAAAGGGUGCGUAGGUGGUUUAUUAAGUCAGUGGUGAAAUCCUGCAGCUCAACUGUAGAACUGCCAUUGAUACUGGUAAACUUGAGUUUGGUUUAGGUAAGCGGAAUUUAUGAUGUAGCGGUGAAAUGCAUAGAUAUCAU
rnacentral:rRNA from 1 species